GUCCACGCCCUAAACGAUGACGACUAGAUGUCGGAAGGGUCUGCCUUUCGGUGUCGUAGCUAACGCGUUAAGUCGUCCGCCUGGGGAGUACGGCCGCAAGGUUGAAACUCAUAGGAAUUGACGGGGACCCGCACAAGCGGUGGAGCAUGUGGUUCAAUUCGAUGCAACGCGAAGAACCUUACCUGGCCUUGACAUCCGCGGAACUUGGCAGAAAUGCCUUGGUGCCUUCGGGAAUCGCGAGACAGGUGCUGCAUGGCUGUCGU
rnacentral:rRNA from 1 species